AGGGUUUGAUCCUGGCUCAGAUUGAACGCUGGCGGCAGGCCUAACACAUGCAAGUCGAGCGGUAACAGAUCUAGCUUGCUAGAUGCUGACGAGCGGCGGACGGGUGAGUAACGCGUAGGAAUCUACCCAGUAGCGAGGGAUAAGCCAGAGAAAUUUGGUCUAAUACCGCAUACGCCCUUCGGGGGAAAGCAGGGGAUCUUCGGACCUUGCACUAUUGGAUGAGCCUGCGUGAGAUUAGCUAGUUGGUGAGGUAAUGGCUCACCAAGGCGACGAUCUCUAGCUGGUCUGAGAGGAUGAUCAGCCACACUGGAACUGAGACACGGUCCAGACUCCUACGGGAGGCAGCAGUGGGGAAUAUUGCACAAUGGGCGCAAGCCUGAUGCAGCCAUGCCGCGUGUGUGAAGAAGGCCCUAGGGUUGUAAAGCACUUUCAGUCGUGAGGAAAGGUGUGUAAUUAAUACUUACAUACUGUGACGUUAGCGACAGAAGAAGGACCGGCUAACUCCGUGCCAGCAGCCGCGGUAAUACGGAGGGUCCGAGCGUUAAUCGGAAUUACUGGGCGUAAAGCGCGCGUAGGUGGAUUGGUCAGUCAGAUGUGAAAGCCCAGGGCUCAACCUUGGAACUGCAUCUGAUACUGCUAGUCUAGAAUACAGUAGAGGGUAGUGGAAUUUCCUGUGUAGCGGUGAAAUGCGUAGAUAUAGGAAGGAACACCAGUGGCGAAGGCGACUACCUGGACUGAUAUUGACACUGAGGUGCGAAAGCGUGGGGGAGCANACAGGAUUA
rnacentral:rRNA from 1 species